GGAGAGUUGUCAGAGUGGCUUAUCGUGCCUGUUUGCUAAAUAGGUGUACGUCCUUAACGUACCACAGGUUCAAAUCCUGUACUCUCCG
rfam:Bacillus phage BCP78, complete genome.